rnacentral:rRNA from 1 species
GACAGUACUCUACGGGGAGGCAGCAGUGGGGGAAUAUUGCACAAUGGGCGCAAGCCUGAUGCAGCCAUGCCGCGUGUGUGAAGAAGGACCUUCGGGUUGUAAAGCACUUUCAGUCGUGAGGAAGGUAGUGUAGUUAAUAGCUGCAUUAUUUGACGUUAGCGACAGAAGAAGCACCGGCUAACUCCGUGCCAGCAGCCGCGGUAAUACGGAGGGUGCGAGCGUUAAUCGGAAUUACUGGGCGUAAAGCGCAUGCAGGUGGUUUGUUAAGUCAGAUGUGAAAGACCCGGGGCUCAACCUCGGAAUAGCAUUUGAAACUGGCAGACUAGAGUACUGUAGAGGGGGUAGGAAUUUCAGGUGUAGCGGUGAAAUGCGUAGAGAUCUGAAGGAAUACCGGUGGCGAAGGCGCCCCCUCGGACAGAUACUGACACUCAGAUGCGAAAGCGUGGGGAGCAAACAGGAUUAGAUACCCUGGUAG